UACGAAGGGGGCAAGCGUUGCUCGGAAUCAUUGGGCGUAAAGCGCACGUAGGCGGCCUGAUAAGUCGGGUGUGAAAGCCCUGGGCUCAACCCAGGAAGUGCACUCGAAACUGUCAGGCUUGAAUAUGGAAGAGGGUCGCGGAAUUCCCGGUGUAGAGGUGAAAUUCGUAGAUAUUGGGAAGAACACCGGUGGCGAAGGCGGCGACCUGGUCCUUGACUGACGCUGAGGCGCGAAAGCGUGGGGAGCAAACAGG
rnacentral:rRNA from 1 species